rnacentral:rRNA from 1 species
UACGGAGGGUGCAAGCGUUGUCCGGAAUCACUGGGCGUAAAGGGCGCGUAGGCGGCUCGGUAAGUAGGGGGUGAAAUCCUGCGGCUUAACCGCAGGGCUGCCUUCUAAACUGUCGAGCUCGAGCACGGUAGAGGCAGAUGGAAUUCCCGGUGUAGCGGUGGAAUGCGUAGAGAUCGGGAAGAACAUCAGUGGCGAAGGCGGUCUGCUGGGCCGUUGCUGACGCUGAGGCGCGACAGCGUGGGAGCAACAGG